rnacentral:misc_RNA from 1 species
GGAUUAGAGAAUUAGUUUGUUGUGUUAUUUAUUUUUGUGAUUGAAAAGAGAUAAUUAAAGAGAUUUUAUAGUAGAUACGUAUUUUAAUAUAGAGAUAAUUUUUUAAAUUAUGUUUUUUUUGUGAAAAUUAAAGAUAUUUUUUUUUAGAGAUAUUGUUUUAAAGAAUUGUAUUAAGUUAUAGUUUAUGUGUUUUUUAUUUUAAA